rnacentral:lncRNA from 1 species
AUCAGUUUCUCUACCAUCUCAUCGUCAACAUGUCUUAGUUACAUACACAAACUCCACAACCAUUCUCCAUGUCACAUCCUACCUUCACCCGCAUUAAUCCCAACACACCCUUGAUACAAAUCAGGAUACGCAUAUUUCCUACUCCUGGCACCGUAAUGCCGUUACAACGUAUAUUCAUAUGCCCUGUAAUGGUUAACCCUCACUGCUAAGGCGUCACUGAGACAUUUUUGGAGUAAGAAUAAGUCUUGGUUAGGUUCUGGGUAGUCCAUAUUAUAGGCACCUAGUAUACGCUUAUCACAAUUUUCAAGUUAUAUAACUGUAAUAUUUCCUCAAUCUGAUUAUCACAAUGCCACAGACAGGUAUGACCUACGAUAGGUGAUAUGCCUUGGGCCACACUGUCUAUACUUACACAUGCUUUUCUGCACAAUCUAUGGUUUAUCUACAAACAUAUUUAGGUGGUAUGUCUAAUCAUAUUUUGUGAUUUCCCCAAAUAGGAUGGCAUGGCUAAACACUACAGUUCCUGACUGUGGAUUUGGUCUUGGGGCUUUUCAUCUGCCUAUACAUGGGGGGUACUCAAGAUGUCUUGCAAUAUGCAUUUCCUUAUGUCUUAUAUCAUAUUUUACAGCUUUCAGGUCAGAGCAUCAUUUGCUUUUCAGACCUGGCACCCAUUUGUCAGUGACAGUUCUUUUAGUAGGUUAUAGACCUCUCCUGUGCUGCCUCCUCUAGGGGAUACUGAAGUUUGUUACAACCAUACCAUUCAGAACUACACGUACUCUUAGGCGAAUUCAGAUAUGUUUUAGCUACGAUGGCACCCCUGCAAUAUAGACCUUUUAGUGAGGUUUUGCUGGCUUAUAGAGAUCUAGGUGACCAAUAGAUGUUAAGUGUUGGCCAUCUCUGCCUUGGAGUUAGUGGUUCCGCGAGGCCAACACCCAUCCUCCACGUAUGAGGUAUUACGUCCCCCGGUCCAAUCAUAGUUAGCCGCCUCGCACAGUGGCAUAGAGAGGGCCUCACUUGUCACACCCAAUCUCUCUCGGAAUUUAAAUGUCACCGAGAGGCCAACACCCCUCCAUGACGUUCAGUGGCCACAAAUCCCCUUGUGCCAAAGCAUAGAUCGAGCCUCUCAAGCCACUUGGCAACUAGUAGGGCCUCACCUGUCACCUACCUAGUAAUUGCUUCGCCACUUGGCGCUAGCCAGCCAGUAUGACAAUCCUGAUUGAAGCUAAUUAUUAUGUUGCAGUAUGUUUCCGAACCCUGUAAAGGUUAUGACUUGUCAAUCCCUAGUACUCCAGUCUCGUUCACUACACCUACACGGAAAGGUGACACCUAUCGGGUUCCAUCAGGUCAUGGACCAUGCCUCGUAUUCAGGCGGAACUACGCAGACGCAACGUUCCUUUCUCAGUAAAGGCCGAGAAAACGGAACUGUGCAGGCUCACAUGUAUCAAUACGGAAAUGCUGAUGCUGGGGUAAGCAUGAGUUGCUUGAGCAACAACAACCUCCAUGCAACGUUCUCAGCUCUCGUGUCCUCAAAGGUAUAAAUAUGCGAGACUAUAAAUACGUUGUCGAACCAUGACAUCAACAGCACGCUGACCCUCACAAGGUCCUCUGUAAGCAUACGAUCAUAACUCAAUUCAAUAUUGAACACUUGACCCGGUACG